AGCGAACGCUGGCGGCAGGCUUAACACAUGCCAGUCGAGCGGGCACUUUCGGGUGUCAGCGGCGGACGGGUGAGUAACGCGUGGGAACGUGCCCUCUGGUUCGGAAUAACUCAGGGAAACUUGAGCUAAUACCGGAUACGCCCUUUUGGGGAAAGGCUUGCUGCCGGAGGAUCGGCCCGCGUCUGAUUAGCUAGUUGGUGAGGUAACGGCCCACCAAGGCGACGAUCAGUAGCUGGUCUGAGAGGAUGAUCAGCCACACUGGGACUGAGACACGGCCCAGACUCCUACGGGAGGCAGCAGUGGGGAAUAUUGGACAAUGGGCGCAAGCCUGAUCCAGCCAUGCCGCGUGAGUGAUGAAGGCCUUAGGGUUGUAAAGCUCUUUUAUCCGGGACGAUAAUGACGGUACCGGAGGAAUAAGCCCCGGCUAACUUCGUG
rnacentral:rRNA from 1 species